GCAAACUACUAAAUUCCUUAGAGAAAUCGCUAGAAGUCUAGAAGGAGCUUUCGGGAAGUUCUCGAGAUCGAGCAGCCUUAGAUCUGUGAGUUUCUGGUCGUGUGAAGUAGCACACGAUUUGGAAUUUAUUUAUUUAAGUUAUUUAUUUAAAUUUUCAUGAGGUUAUGCUUUUAUACUUUGUAUAAAUUAUGCAUACUUUCUAGUUUAGCUUAUUAUACGUUAUAAACAUAUGAUUAGCACACUGAUCUGUCUAGAUCUUGCAUUUCUGUUCGAUUAUAUUAUAGUUGAGGUUAUGUUGGUCGAUUCUAUAACCGUUAUGAUGCCCGUAUAACCGUUAUGUUUCCAACAUGACCAUUAGGCUGUUCGUAUAGUUGUUAUAAUACCGUUUUAGCUGUUAGGCUACCGGCACUAUCUUGGUUUACAUAGUUUCUUCUUAUGCAUGGGUUGAUUGUUUGUUGAAUGCUUGUUUAACAUUCUUUGUGGUCUUGCUUUAGUUGAUUGUUAUAUGGUAGUAGUUGCUAGUAGGAACUUUUUGAGUACUUCAUACUCGUAGUGUUAUUAAGUUAGUAUGAAGCGAUUCUUCUGGUUAUCCCAUCGGCUCGAAGUGGAUCGCAACCAUCAAGCAAUGUCUGACGAGGCAGUACACAUUCCACGGUAAGGGAACUUGCUCCCUUACUAAUGGCUCAUGAAACAGGGAUGUGGUCCUUCUAGUCUUCGUCAUUAAGGAUCGGAGAAGCAUUGCCUAACGGGAGAUCAGAAUCGCAGGAACGCCUUAGAGAGUGAAGAUGAAGAUUAGCAUGCUAGAUUUGAUUGUUUUGUUCUAUGCGGCUGUUAUGUCGCAUUUUUUAUUGUCAUUGUUAUCUUAUAUGUGUUUGGAGGUCGGGUAGGGGAUUCCUAAUGUUUAGAGACCCCGGACUCACUGAGUAAUCUUAAAUUACUCAUGCUGGUACUUAUUUUGUUUUACAGGUAACCAGUAGAAGGGUAACUUAGAGGGAGCUAGGACGUUAAGCAAAGCCAGUGUAGGUUUCAUGUCUUUUUGUAAAAUUAUUCUGUUUGAAUAAGGCUUCGAAAGUUUUUUUUGGAGACUAGCUCCCGGCCGAAAAUCUUAGGAUGUUUUAUGUGUUAUAUUAUAUUUCUUCGAAUAUUUUAUGUAAAAUAAAGCUUGUUUUAUAUUUGGAGCUGUUCUUAAAUGAUUAUAGUCUUGUCCGGACCGUCCUAACACUUAUUCACGGUUAAGGUUGGCAAGCCCGAACCCGUUAUGUAGUGGGAUGUGCAUGCGGAACGGACGAUCGGGGUAUCGAAUUCGUUUUGAUAACCUCUGUUGACUGUCCGCGAGUAUCAUCACGUAGCAUUCUCAGCCGUCUUAUUUAUAGACUGGUUCGGGGGUGUUACAACUAGGCUACUUAAUAACACACAAUUAAGUUAUUCCCUAGAUAAUGAACUCAUAAGCUAGCCUAUCCAAUGUCUUGGGAGAGAUUAUUAAUCUUAAGUCACUUCCCAAUCUCAAAUGUUGUUUAUGAAACAUGAAAUAAGCAAGCAUUAAACAAAAGUUCAUUAUUGUCAAAAUACAUUCUAGUCAACCAAUAUCUUGGGCAUAGACACAUAAGUCCCUGGCAUUAUAGGAUCAGACAUUUUAUCGACCAUCUUUCGGGCAUGAAAGUCUCGGAUCUAAUCUCCAAAUGAUCAGUAAGGGAUUAGCAUCAUAUACACUAAUCAUGAAUGGAAUUUAAGGCAGAUCUACUCUACAUCAACCUAGAUCAUAUAGGUAGAAUUGUUUAGAUUUCAUUCUGGAUUAGUGUAUAUAACACUAAUCCCGCUCUGAUCAAGUGGUGAUUAGCUUUCAGGCUUCCACGCCCGAGAGGUUUUCGAUGGAAUGCUGGAUAAUCUAAUACCACCAAAUUUCAUGUCUAGCCCAAGAGAUUGGUUGUCUAGAAUGUUAUUUUACAUUAAUGAGUUGAC
rnacentral:lncRNA from 1 species